UCCUGUGGAGAUCGUGUGUUUCUACAUUUGGCAGGCCUGAAGACUUUCCUCCCUGGUUAAGCGGGCUGUGCCCGCGGGUUGCCCCGCUCUCGGCAAGGAAGCAGGCAGGAUGAACUAAUGAGGGCCCCUUCAGAACGGAAGGGUUUAACCAGUGUGCUGGCAGGCCCCAUCUUACUCACGGUAAAAAAAAAAAAAAAAAGAAGAAGUUAUAAGAGAUUCAGAAUGCUGAGUUGUGAAAACGGCAGGCUAACGAAAGAGCCGCGGGACCUGAAGAGUGCCUUAUUGUACAACUUUGCCGAGAACCCACACCUCCGCCCCUGGAGUCCACGAUAUAGGUAUCAUUGUUUUUCUUUGAGGACAAGAAGCAACUGAAAAAUUAAUUUCAGUCCACUUAAGGUUUUGAAGGCUGCUCUGCUUUUAGUACACCACGCACAAGAAGUAAACAUUAUUACCUGAGGCAGAAGGGAGAUUUUUAAAAUUACACGAAAAACAGAAUCCGGAAGAAAGCCGGUUUCUACUACACGGAGAAAUCUGCACUUGAAAGCCACGGCAAGGGAUCAAAGCCGCUUCUUCUCCAGCCACCUGCCCAGAAAUUGCAGGCGCGCUAGCCCCAAACCGACGGGCACGCGGGCACGUGUCUCUCCCUGACCCAGCAGGUGCUCCGAGGGACCCGGGUUGGGGUGACCGGCUCCUGGAGCGUUGCUGGGAGCUGGGGCAGCGAAACCAGUGUCCUCCGCCAGCUCCACCAAGGCCAGCCCUAGAGCCUCGCCGCCCAGCCACGAAGGAUGCUUGGGGUCACUUGAGCCACCGCGCUCUCCGCACAGAUGAAUUCAAUGCAAACCAACCAACCAGUAGUUCUGAAUGUCUCGUCUGCACAGGCACGAUGCUACCAUGCAAUGGUGUUUUGAGACAAGGUUCCUGUCUUCAAGGAAUUUAUAAUCUAAUUGAAAUAGAAGUAGCCAUGCAAGUAAUGGAAGUUGAAUAACAAUAAAAUAUUUUAAUACCA